rnacentral:tRNA from 1 species
GUUAAGGUGGCAGAGCCCGGCAACUGCAAAAGACCUAAGCCCUUUCCACGGGGGUUCAAGUCCCCCCCUUAACU